GCUCCGAUGUGGAAUGUGACGGUGAAGCGGGGGAUGCGGUGACGGAUGAAGAUGAUGAGAGAGUGUUUUCUAUGGUGGAUUUGGUGGAAGCAUCCCCGUAACAUUUUGAACAGAGAUUCAUGGUGGCUGGAUUACCGAGGAAGCCACAGUUGUUUGUGCAGAGACGGUGGCCUUCAGGUGCUUGGCAUGGUUGUUCUUCUGCCAUGGAUGAAUCUAGAUAUGCUGAUUUUCUUUCACUUUUUAUUUUAAGGAAACAUGAAUUUAUGAGAAUCAGAGAAUUCUCUAAAUCUGUAAGAAUUUAAAAGGAAAAGUGAUAUAGAAAAUGAGUUGGUUAA
rnacentral:lncRNA from 1 species